AUGUGUAAGAGAAGCAUGUAAGGCAAGAUGAUGAUGAUUUUUUUUCUUUUAAUAUUCAAAAAGGGAUAUUUAUCUAUUAUUUGGUAAUUGAUAGAGUUAUGUUCUCUGUAAAGUAGGAAUAAUAAAAUGUUUGUAAGAAUGCUAUCUAUUUUUAAAGCCCAGUGUCAGUGAAGAUGGUGUGGUCAUUGGAAUUCUACAUCUUCCAGUAUUCUUCUACAAUGUUUGCCUGAUGAUUUAGGAAUUGUUUUGGACUUCCCUGCCUCAUUGGAACAUCUCCGUUCACACACUGUGGAGAGAUAGUGAGCAGCUUCAUGACAAGUUUAGUGCCGAUGGAGAGCAAGUUCAUUUGGAGUUCUUUUUUUUUUUUUUUUAUUAGUUAGUUAAUUAAUUAAUUAAUUAAUUUAGUCAAACUUGCAUUCACUCAUGAUGGAGUAAGAUUUUAGAAGAAAACUUUCAAUCCUGUUUAAUGUUGGUGCUAGUAAAGGUUUGAGAAUUAUUGGCCUGGUUUCACAGACAGGGCUUGGACUAAGUCAGGAUCAUAGUUCAGUAAGGACUUUUAUGUAUUUUUCAUUAACAUGCCUUAGAAAAAAACAGUACUGGCUUGCAUCUUGAGACAAAACAAAGGCACUGGUAUUUUUAAAGAUCAGUGAGAACAGUUGAAACAGCUCAGAAUUACAUUUUAGUCUGGGGUUGGUCUUAAGCCUUGUCUGUAAAACCAGGGGUACAAGUAUCCCACUUUGGUAAUGUUUUACAAUAAGGUCUCGUUUGUUGUACAUUGAAUGAUACUUUUUUAAAUGAAUGAUAAUCUUUAUUUAUUUAUUUAUUUGUAUUAAGUGUGUGUCUGUCUGUGUGUUAGUAAUCAUAUAUGUUAUGGCGACCAAAUGACUCCACAAGGAUAGUAAUACCAGUAUAUUUUGAAAUUUCUAGGUCCCCAAUAAGUGGAAAUUAGCAUUUUUCUCCAUACUCUUUCUUAUAAGUUGAAGUGUUGUGACUGUAUAGUGUUGGGUUUUUCUUGUCCAUCAGCAAAAACAUUUUUGUGUAUUUGUUUGAGAGAUUGUUUUGUCAAUGAAUGUAUGGGUUUUCGAUUUUGUGUUGUUGCAUUGAUUGUAUCUAGGUUAUUAAGAGGUUAUUAGAUAUAUGACAUUGAAGUAUAUUUUAGUUCACAUUAAUUGCUUAUUUACCAUAUUUCAAAUUACAUAUAAAAUAUAAUAAAAAAAAUAUCAUUCAAAAGUUAAA